rnacentral:lncRNA from 1 species
GUGAAACACAGCACAAGUUGGAUAUUUAUUUGGCUGAGAGAGCUCUGUUGGGUGGGUCCUGAUGCUGGGAGCUUUUAUUUUUACUUGUCAUUUAAAUCUGCUCUACGUCUUGAAGAAAUGCUUUAAACAUCAAGCAAUUUAUUCCACCCUUGAUUGAGAACUGCUGCACGGUGCUUUGCAUACAUUAGCGCUAAUCCUCCGAAGAACCCUCCAGGAGGAAGAAGUUCCUGUCACCUGAGUUUGGGAAGAGUUCAGAGUCAGCAUCCACUAGAAUCCAGGGACCCUCUGAGAUGUUAUUGAGUGAAUGUACAAGGAGAGAAGCCCUACUCUGACAGAGGGAUGAACUUGUUGAGAGAUGGCCAUGCUGCCAAUCAAGAACAUGAUAUGAAACAAAAAUGGGCUGAGAAUUGAACCUGCGACAUUGCACAUGAAGAGGGAUAGAAUUACUCUUUAAUGAAGAUAUUGUUGAGACAAGCUAUGGAGGAUUGGUACCCGGGUACUGCACAGACACUGGGAUAAUUCUGGAACUAGAGAAAGAGCAGCAACUUCAUCAGUAGAUAUGUGUAUACAGACAGAACAGAACAUUUAAAACAACAAGAUAAAGAACUGAAUAAAUCAACGGCUCUGAUAAGAUGAUUCACUCCAAAUUGAUUUUUCAGCAACAAGCCCUGAUGUGGACAAAUACUCUCAAACUCUAGCCUUUCUUGAAUUCAUGUGGGUCUCAGGGUCCCUUUGAGACUGGGUGGGUUAAGCAAUUGGUGCUAUGAAUUCCAUUCAGAGGUUAACAUUAAAGGGGCUGAUUUCAGAACAUUCCAAUGGAAGUGUUCAUCUAGAGACACAUACUUUAAACAUACUCAUGUUAAAGAUACAUGACCCCCAAUAUAUAGUAAAUAAUUUAUAUAUUUAAAAUACAUUUUGAGAAUCUUUAAGCUUGAGUUUGCUUACACGGUUUGUAGACAUAUUAGUAUAUAAGAUACAUUAAGUAUCCAUAUAAGAAACUGAUCUCAGUAGAUAGUUGCCAAUCUACUAUUUUCAAAAUCUU